rnacentral:rRNA from 1 species
CCCCACUGCUAUCGGGAUAGGACUAAGACAUGCUAGUCGAGUGACUCAGGCAAAACGAGUCACGGCACACAGCUCAGUAACACGUGGCUAAUCUGCCCUUGGGACUAGAACAACCCCGGGAAACUGGGGCUAAAUCUGGAUAGGUGAAGAACUCUGGAAUGAGUUUUCGCCUAAAUAGGUUCACGUUAUCCUCGUGAACUUGCCCAAGGAUGAGGCCGCGACCGAUCAGGUUGUUGGUGAGGUAAUGGCUCACCAAGCCUUUUACCGGUGCGGGCCGUGGGAGCGGGAGCCCGGAGAUGGGUACUGAGACAAGGACCCAGGCCCUACGGGGCGCAGCAGUCGCGAAACCUUUGCAAUACACGAAAGUGUGACAGGGCUAUCCCGAGUGCCAUCCGCUGAGGAAGGCUUUUACCCAGUCUAGAAAGCUGGGGGAAUAAGGAGAGGGCAAGUCUGGUGUCAGCCGCCGCGGUAAUACCAGCUCUCCGAGUGGUGUGGAUGUUUAUUGGGCCUAAAGCAUCCGUAGCUGGCUAGGUAAGUCCCUUGUUAAAUCCACCGAAUUAAUCGUUGGAUCGCGGGGGAUACUGCUUGGCUAGGGGACGAGAGAGGCAGACGGUAUUUUCGGGGUAGGGGUGAAAUCCUAUAAUCCCGGGAAGACCACCAGUGGCGAAGGCUGUCUGCUAGAACGCGCCCGACGGUGAGGGAUGAAAGCUGGGGGAGCGAACCGGAUUAGAUACCCGGGUAGUCCCAGCUGUAAACGAUGCAGACUAGGUGUUUGGACGGCCACGUGCCGUUCUAGUGCCGCAGGGAAGCUGUUAAGUCUGCCGCCUGGGGAGUACGAUCGCAAGAUUGAAACUUAAAGGAAUUGGCGGGGGAGCACCACAAGGGGUGAAGCUUGCGGUUU